rnacentral:rRNA from 1 species
AUUGAACGCUGGCGGCAGGCCUAACACAUGCAAGUCGAACGAGCGGCGGACGGGUGCGUAAUGUCUGGGAAACUGCCUGAUGGAGGGGGAUAACUACUGGAAACGGUAGCUAAUCCCGCAUACCAUUAGAUGUGCCCAGAUGGGAUUAGCUCGUAGGUGGGGUAAUGGCUCACCUAGGCGACGAUCCCUAGCUGGUCUGAGAGGAUGACCAGACACACUGGAACUGAGACACGGUCCAGACUCCUGCGGGAGGCAGCAGUGGGGAAUAUUCCACAAGGGGCGCAGGCCUGAUGCAGCCAUGCCGCGUGUGUGAUGAAGGCCUUCGUGUUGUAAAGCACUUUCAGCGAGGAGGCGUUACUCGCAGAAGAAGCACCGGCUAACUCCGUGCCAGCCGCCGCGGUAAUAC